rfam:Eucalyptus grandis cultivar BRASTZ1 unplaced genomic scaffold scaffold_3, whole genome shotgun sequence.
GCUGGUCAUGUGAUGAUUAGAAGCAUAGUUCAGAUGAUAAUCCCUGUGAUUAUAACAUUUCAAUAGUCUUUCGCUCCUAUCUGAUGACCCAA